CUUGCUGAGUUUAAGCAUAUCAAUAAGCGAAGGAAAAGAAACUAACAAGGAUUUCCUUAGUAACGGCGAGCGAACCGGGAAUAGCCCAUCUUGAAAGUCAGACGUUUUCGGCGUUCGAAUUGUAGUCUGGAGAAGCGUCCUCAGCGGCGGGUCAGGCCCAAGUUCCCUGGAAAGGGGCGCCAGAGAGGGUGAGAUCCCUGUCGUGCCCAGACCCUAUCGCACCACGAGGCAAUAUCUACGAGUCGGGUUGUUUGGGAUUGCAGCCCCAAUCGAGCGGUAAAUUCUGUCCAAGGCUAAAUGUGGGCGAGAGACCGAUAGCAAACAAGUACCACGAGGUAAAGAUGAAAAGGACUUUGAAAAAAGAGUCAAAGAGUGCUUGAAAUUGUCGGGAGGGAAGCGGAUGGGGGCCGCCGAUUCGUCCCGUUCGGAUGCGG
rnacentral:rRNA from 1 species